UACGUAGGGCGCAAGCGUUAUCCGGAAUUAUUGGGCGUAAAGAGCUCGUAGGCGGUUUGUCGAGUCUGCUGUGAAAACCUGGGGCUUAACUCCGGGCUUGCAGUGGGUACGGGCAGACUAGAGUGCGGUAGGGGAGACUGGAAUUCCUGGUGUAGCGGUGAAAUGCGCAGAUAUCAGGAGGAACACCGGUGGCGAGGGCGGGUCUCUGGGCCGUAACUGACGCUGAGGAGCGAAAGCAUGGGGAGCGAGCAGG
rnacentral:rRNA from 1 species